ACAGUAACAGCAGCAUGGAGAGAAAACAAAGACAGGAAGAGGAAACGCGACAACAGGCCCCGAAAUGUGAGAAAACCAGCAUUGCUGCUCCCAUUAUCACUGUAAUUAAGAUUCAGCAACUGUUCCUGUUAGCUUGUGAUCGCCAAGCACUCCGGCAACGUUCCAGGAGCGCUCCGCAAACGUCCUGAGAGGGGCACAGAUUAGCUUUCAGAGGCAGUGGCACGCGGCCAAUCCAAUUCUGUCCCUGUCCUUCCAGAUCCCUAUCAAGGGCGGACGAUAACACAAGCGAGCGAGGGAGAUGAGCUCUCCACUCACGUCCCCGAUUCCCCCUACCCGGUGAGCAGGCAGCAGUCAUGGACCAGGGUAUCCUCUACGUAGACGCCCCUGUCCUCGUUGCUGUGGACGACGUGGCCAUUGUGGUGCCAGAGCAGCGUGACCGAGGGGUCCAGUGGAAACAAGAUGGAAGACAGGACACAUUACACCAAGGCCAGGAAGGCGGCGCCCUUGGGUAGUGCUAAUGGAAGGGGCACGGGAUGACAAAUCUUCAUCUUUCAGAUACUGCACUUUCUGGUGCCCCAUAUAAGCAGAGAGCCUCUGUAUCCAACUUGAACUCCCAGGUAAAUAAACAUCAAUUGAAGCAACUUGUUCUCAUAAGAUCAGAUCCUGCUGCUUUGAUAUGAAAGUGUGGCUUUGUAGCUAUACUGAACAAAAAUAUAAACGCAACAUAAAACAAUUACAAUGAUUUUACUGAAUUACAGUUCAUAGAAAGAAAUCAAUCAAUUGAAAUGAAUUCAUUAGGCCCUAAUCUAUGGAUUUCACAUGACUGGGCAGGGCAGCCAGGCCCAUCCACUGGGUAGCCAGGCCCAGCCAAUCAGAAUGAGUUUUUCCCCAAUAAAGGGCUUUAUUACAGACAGAAAUACUCCUCAGCACCCACCCACCCCCCUUCCCUCAGACGAUCCUGCAGUUGAAGAAGCCAGAUGUGGAGGUCCUGCGCUGGCAUGGUUACACGUGGGGAGGUGUGCGGUUGUGAGGUCGGUUGGAUGUACUGCCAAAUUAUCUAAAACGAAGUUGGAGGCAGUUUAUGGUCUUUUACUGUCCCCAGCACAAGGUGCACUUGUGUAAUGAUCAUGCUGUUUAAUCAGCUUCUUGAUAUGCCACACCUGUCAGGUGGGUGGAUUAUCUUGGCAAAGGAGAAAUGCUCACUAACAGGGAUGAAAACAAAUUUGUGCCAAAAAAUUUGAGAAAAAAAGCUAUGUAACACUUCUGGGAUAUUUUAUUUCAGCACAUGAAACAGGAGCAACACUUUACAUGUUGUGUUUAUAUUUUUGUUCAGUGUACAUUCCCCCCAAAAAAUGUGUUCCUUAGGAUAGUCCCGAGGAGGACAGAUACAGCCUACCUAGUGGGACCCCCUCGCCCACGUAUGAGGGCCAGCUACCGAACAACAGCGUCCAUUGGAACCCCGCGCUCGUGGCGGAGGGCGAGCCCAGCCCUAGCCCAGCACAGCCUGCAUUUUUACCCCAAUGCCCACAGAUGAGGACCAGACCAGCACCAGUCAGCACAACCACAACAACUCUGGGAUUGGGGUGUAACGUAUAAGCUAAGAAUCGGGAAGCAAGUACAGGGAGUGAAUUUCAUAAAUAACGGAACAAAACAAGAAACACUAGUAGCAUACAGACAUGAAACACAGAAACAGAGUCAAUAAUGCAAUAACUCCCAAAGGGAGUGAUAGAUAUAGGGGAGGUGAUCAGGGAGGUGAUGGAGUCCAGGUGAGUCUCAUGAGACGCAGGUACUCAUAACAAUUGUGGAAGGUGUGCGUAAUAAUGAGUAAACUGGUAACAUCGAGCACCUCGAGAGGGGGAGCGGGAGUAGACAUGACAGUACCCCCUCCCUGAUGCGCGGCUCCAGCCACAGGACGCCGACCAGAGGAGCGGGCCGGUCGCUUCUGCUGAGGCGCGGGAACCUGUAGAGCCAGCUGAGGCGCGUGAACUUGUAGAGCCUGCUGGGGAGCGGGAACCUGUCGAGCUGGCUGAGGCAUGGGAGCCUGACGAGCCAACCUAGCAAGUUCAUAAAAAAUGUAAAACUGAAAUAUCACAUAAGUAUUCAGACCCUUUACUCAGUACUUUGUUGAAGCACCUUCGGCAGCAAUUACAGCCUCAAGUCUUCUUGGGUAUGAAGUUACAAGCUUGGCACACCUGUAUUUGAGGAGUUUCUCCUAUUCUUCUCAGCCGAUCCUGUCAAGCUCAGUCAGGUUAGAUGGAGAGUGUCGCUGCACAGCUAUUAGUAGGUCUCUCCAGAGAUGUUAGAUCGGGUUCAAGUCCGGGCUCUGGCUGGGCCACUCAAGGACAUUCAGAGACUUGUUCCGAAGCCACUCCUGCAUUGUCUUGGCUGUGUGCUCGGGGUUGUUGUCCUGUUGGAAGGUGAACCUUCGCCCCAGUUUGAGGUCCUGAGUGCUCUGGAGCAGGUCUUCAUCAAAGAUGUCUCUGUACUUUGCUCCGUUCAUAUUUCCCUUUAUCCCAACUAGUCUCCCAGUCCCUACCACUGAAAAACAUCCCCACAGCAUGAUGCUACAACCACCAUUCUUCACCGUAGGGAUGGUGCCAGGUUUCCUCCAGACGUGACGCUUGGCAUUCAGGCCAAAGAGUUCUAUCUUGGUUUCAUCAGACUAGAUAAUCUUGUUUCUCAUGGUCUGAGAGUCCUUUAGGUGCCUUAUGACAAACUCCAAGCGGGCUGUCAUGUGCCUUUUACUGAGGAGUGGUUUCCAUCUGGCCACCAUACGGUAAAGGCCUGAUUGGUGGAGUGCUGCAGAGAUGAUUGUCCUUCUGGAGGUUUCUCCCGUCUCCACAGAGGAACCGGAGCUCUGUCAGAGUGACCAUCGGGUUCUUGGUCACCUCCCUGACCAAAGCCAUUCUCCCCCGAUUUCUCAGUUUGGCCGGGCGGCCAGCUCUAGGAAGAGUCUUGGUGGUUCCAAACUUCUUCCAUUUAAGAAUGAUGGAGGCCACUGUGUUCUUAGGGACCUUCAAUGCUGCAGACAUUUUUUUGGUGCCCUUCCCCAGAUCUGUACCUCGACACAAUCCUGUCUCUGAGUUCUACGGACAAUUAAUUUGACCUCAUGGCUUGGUCUUCACUCUGACAUGCACUGUCAACUGUGGGACCUUAUAUGGACAGGUGUGUGCCUUUCCAAAUCAUGUCCAAUCAAUUGAAGUCACCACGGGUGGACUCCAAAUCCAGCUGUAGAAACAUCUCAAGGAUGAUCAAUGAAAACAGGAUGCACCUGAGCUCAAUUUCGAGUCUCAUAGCAAAGAGUCUGAAUACUUAUGUAAAUAAGGUAUUUCUGUUGGGGAAAAAGGGAAUGGGUCUGAAUACAUCCGAAGGCACUGCACUGAUCACAAAAUAAAGAAGCUCAGACUUUGGCUUGGUUUAAAUCUGUAACUAUUCUUAAGAUCUGCCUGGCUAGUCAGUUCCAUCAGAUGAAGGAGGAACAUGCCUAAUUCUAUCUUCAUAUUACACAUGCUAAACAAAAGUAGUCUCUGUGUGUUCUUGAUUUGCAGAUUUAAAACAAACCAUUCCAGUUUAAUGGGCCUGGAGAUGCGUAGAUCAUACACACAUUCUAAUGGCAGCAGGUAGCCUAGUGGUUAGAGUGGUGGGCCAGUAACCGAAAGGUUGCUGGAUCAAAUCCCUGACGUGACAUGGUCAAAAUCUGCAUUUCAUCCCCGGGCGCUGAAGAUGUGGAUGUUGAUUAUGGCAGCCCCCCGCACCUCUCUGAUUCAGAGGGGUUGGGUUAAAUAUGGAAGACACAUUUCAGUUGAAAGCAUUCAGUUGUGCAACUGACUAGGUAUCUUCCUUUCCUUUAAUCAAGGCUUGGGUGGCUAGUAUGGCAUUCUGGCUCGCUAAAGAAUCAUUUGUUGAUCAUUCUUACUCAGUGUUGUGUACAAAGUUAUGACAUAUUGUAUGGGAUGGAACAAUAAACAUCUAAACAAGCCAGAAACAGACAGGCAGUCAAAGUAGCAUGUUAAUGUUGUUUUUGUCUCGCAUGGGGUUACAACCAACUUAAACACCAGCACAGAAUAAGUAAAAAUGUGUACACUCAGUUUUCUGAGCAAAACAACAUGCAUGCUCUUUGCUUUUCAACAUGCCACAUGAAUGACUGUGGUGGUGACGGCUGGGCUUAAUUUCUAAUCAAAUGGGCUAGGCUGUAGUUAUUUUGCCCCACUGAAAAUGCACUGCAUGCACUGACAUGAAGUAACUGCAGAGUGUGUCUCUGUGCUGCUUAGCUCUCACUUCAGUAUUAGUGGUGUAUGGCAGAGAGUAGUGAGGUAGGAGAGGGUCUUGUCUCCAUCUUCCUGGGAAAGUUUCAUGAUUGGCCUCAUCCAUAAUCAACAAUGUCAUGUGCGUAUCGGUCCAUGCACUCACUCUGCAGGAAGUAAAGCGAAGCAAGGCAACCAAAGUUCCACCACUCUCUCGAGAUGAAGGUUGAUGGGGGUCAGGAAGACUCUGACACGACUAGCUAGGCUGCCAACGGCAUUUUCCAUGACCCUCCGAGCACAUGACAACCUGUAGUUGAAGACCUUUUAGGGGUCUUCAACUUGCCAAUGUGGAUAUGGCUUCAUGAGGUCGGCCUCAGGGGAAAUACCUAAUCUGCAGCGAUAGUGUAUGGAGCCAGAUGGUCGGUGUCAGGAAGGUGGCGCAGCAGCAGGGAUGUCGGCGGUCCUCUUCUUUACAGGCAUCCUGUAAAGAACAUCUUGCCAAACAGCCCGCCAUUCAAAACCUGUCCAUUGUAUCCAGCAUCAACGUACAGGUAUCUGUAAUCGCUGUCCACCAGUGCCAUCAGCAUAAUAGAGUUGUGUAAUUGUGUAAUGGAUCCAGACCGUGGUUACAUGUUUUCCAUCCAAUGCUCCUAAACAAAGAGGAGAAUCUCAUUGCUGUUGGAAUCCAAGGGCUACUUCCUACCACUCGUCUACUGCGUCUGGGCACCGAAAAACAGAAUAGAAAACACAAUGCAUUUUAGAGGAUGGAAAGGCAAUAUUUAUCACAUCAACUCCAGAGAUCAUGUCAAACACAAAUGAACGCAUCUAACUGCUCACAGUACAACUGGUAGACCCAUUAGGUGAUGGCAGAUCAAAACAGAAAUUGUAAACAAAUGUUGUCUGGCCAACCUCAAAGCUAUAACUAUACUAUACUCAGAACUAUAUGAAGCCAAGUAUCAAUGUUGAUUUUUUUAUAAACCUUUAUUUAACUAGGCAAAUAUGUUAUAAUCAACCAACAUUGUUUGACGAUAGCCAUCUAGCCAAGUGUUUUGUUCAAGUAUACGCCAUCCAUGGUAUAGCUACAACAUUAGCUAGCUUAAGCUAGCUAUUUAUCUUUUCUGGCUGAAAAUGUUAGUCAACCAGCUUAUGUUACUAGCUAGCUAUUACUAUAGCUCAUGAAAACCAGUUUGUUGUGUCUUUCGAAAACGUUAUUAGCUUACCCAUUGCCAAGAAUCACAGCGUAGUCAUGAGACGUUCUCCCACCAAGAUGCAAUCCCUGUAGUUUUUAUUCGGCCUUUGGAUGAGUGGAGUGACCUACUCUUUCAACAUGUGAAACUGCUCAGGAAAGAGUCGGGCAAAAUUCUUGAAAUCAGAUAUUUCAUGUGAUUCCAGCUCACAGCAAAAAUGUGGAUUUGAAAAUUGAUCCUAACGCUGCAGUAUCCAUGACUUAACCCAUUAUCUACUAAUCUUUCGUCUUCGUCUCUUAUUUUCCUCCUCAAUCAGCCAAAGGCCUAAAGCUGAUAAAACAAGUACCAGCUGUAAAUUGCUUUUAAUUUCUUAUUUUUAUAUCUUGUGUGUUUUUGUUCAACCUUGUUAUUUUUAGUUUUACAUUAUUAUUUAUUACUGCAUUGUUGGGGUUAGAGCUAGCAAGAAAGGCAUUUCACUGUACUUGUUG